GGUUAUGGGGCUAUGGUAAGGUUUAACGUUUUGGCUUUAGGUUUAAAAUCACUGUCCAAAACCUUUGUAGGAACUCUUUUUCAACCUUUUGGAGUUAGUUAGACCAAAAAAUAGGAAAAAAGAAAAAAAUAUUAUUGGGGGUUUUCGGGCUCCCUGAAAGUAAUACCCGGGUAUUAGGUUUUGGGGCUAUGGUAAGGUUUAAGUUUUUUGGCGUUAGGGUUAAAAUCACUGUCCAAAACCUUUGUAGGAACUCUUUUCCAACCUUUUGGAGUUAGUUAGACCAAAAAAUAUGAAAAAAGAAAAAAAUAUUAUUGGGGGUUUUCGGGCUUCCUGAAGGUAAUACCCAGGUAUUAGGUUUUGGGACUGGGGAAAGGUUUAAGGUUUUUGGCAUCAGGGUUAAAAUCACUGUCCAAAACCUUUGUAGGAACUCUUUUCCAACCUUUUGGAAUUAGAUAAACCAAAAAAAUAUGAAAAAAGAAAAAAUAUAUAUUUGGGGUUUUUGGGCUUCCUGAAUGUAAUACCCGGGUAUUAGAUUUUGGGGCUAUGGUAAGGUUUAAGUUUUUUGGCGUUAGGGUUAAAAUCACUGUCCAAAACCUUUGUAGGAACUCUUUUCCAACCUUUUGGAGUUAGUUAGACCAAAAAAUAUGAAAAAAGAAAAAAAUAUUAUUGGGGGUUUUCGGGCUCCCUGAAAGUAAUACCCGGGUAUUAGGUUUUGGGGCUAUGGUAAGGUUUAAGUUUUUUGGCGUUAGGGUUAAAAUCACUGUCCAAAACCUUUGUAGGAACUCUUUUCCAACCUUUUGGAGUUAGUUAGACCAAAAAAAAUGAAAAAUGAAAAAACAAUAUUUGGGGUUUUCGGGGUUCCUGAAUGUAAUACCCGGGUAUUAGAUUUUAAGGCUAGGGUAAGGUUUAAGUUUUUUGGCAUUAGGGUUAAAAUCACUGUCCAAAACCUUUGUAGGAACUCUUUUCCAACCUUUUGGAGUUAGUUAGACCAAAAAAAAAAUGAAAAAUGAAAAAAAAAUAUUUGGGGUUUUCGGGGUUCCUGAAUGUAAUACCCGGGUAUUAGAUUUUAAGGCUAGGGUAAGGUUUAAGUUUUUUGGCAUCAGGGUUAAAAUCACUGUCCAAAACCUUUGUAGGAACUCUUUUCCAACCUUUUGGAGUUAGUUACACCAAAAAGUAUGAAAAAAGAAAAAAAUAUUAUUGGGGGUUUUCGGGCUCCCUGAAAGUAAUACCCGGGUAUUAGGUUAUGGGGCUAUGGUAAGGUUUAAGUUUU